rnacentral:lncRNA from 1 species
ACCUGAUCUCCCCACACCCUCUGACCCUAGGCAACCACUAAUCUACUUUCUGUCUCUAUAUAGUUUUACCUACUCUGGCCAUUUCAUAUAAAUGGAAUCAUACAAUACAGUCUUUUGUGACUGCUUCUUUCACUUUCAUAAUGUCUUCAAAGUUCAUUUAUGUUGUAGCAUUUAUCAGUACCUCAUUUCUUUUUCAUUACCAAAUAUUUCAUUGUAUGUAUAUAUCGCACCUUAUCAAUUUAUCAGUUGAUGGACUGGUAAGUCGAUAAAAACAAGUCCAUCAACUGAUAAAUGGGUUGUUUCCACUUUUUGUCUAUUAUGAAUAACAUUCACGUACAAGUUUUCAUGUGAACACAUUUCCAUUCUCUUGGGUAUAUACCAAACUAAAAAAGUGGAAUUAGCCAGGCAUGGCUCACACCUGUAAUCCCAGCACUUUGGGAGGCCAACGUGUAUUACUUGACCUCACAAGUUCAAGACCAGCCUGGGCAACAUGGCAAAAUCCCGUCUCUUAAAAAAAAAUACAAAAAUUAGCCAGGCGUGGUGUUGCAUGCCUAUAGUCCCAGCUGCUGGGGAGGCUGAGGUGGGAGGAUCACUUAAGCCCAGGAGAUGGAGGUUACAGUGAGCCAUGAUUGCACCACUGCACUCAGCUUAGAUGACAGAGUGAGACCCUGUCUCAAAAAAAAAAAAAAAAAAUUAAAAAAUUAAGGUAGAACUACUGGGUCAUAUGGUAACUCUACCUUUAACCCUUUGAAAAAUUGCCUGGUUUUUUUUUUUUUUUUUUGAGACAGAGUCUCGCUAUGUCACCAGGCUGGAGUACAGCUGCAUGAUCUUGGCUCACUGCAACCUCCGCCUCCUGGGUUCAAGCGAUUCUCCUGCCUCAGCCUCCCAAGUACCUGGGACUACAGGUGCAUGCUACCAUGCCCGGCUAAUUUUUGUAUUUCUAGUAGAGACAGGGUUUCACCAUGUCGGCUAGGAUGGUCUCGAUCUCUUGACCUCGUGAUCUGCCCAGCUCGGCCUCCCAAAGUGUUAGGAUUACAGGCGUGAGCCACCGCGCCCGGCCAGAACUGCCUGUUUUUCAAAGUGGUUGUACUAUUUUACAUUCCCAUCAGCAGUGUGUAAGAGUUCUAAUUUUUAUAUAUUGUAGCCAACAUUAGCAGAUAUGAAGUGGUUUCUCACUGUGGUUUGAUCUUAAUUUGCAUUUCCCUGAUGGCUAAUUAUGUUGAACAUGCUGUUUUCAUGUACUUAACAGGCCAUUCCACCACAUAUCUUCUUUUGAAGAAACUGUCUAUUCAGAACCUUUACCCAUUUUUCAAUGAUUUGUCUUUAUUACUAAAUUAUGAUAGUUCUUUAUUCUGGAUAUAAAUCUCUUAUGUGACUGCAAAUAUAGUCUCCUAUUCUGUGGGUUAUCUUUUCAUUUUCUUCAUGAUCUUCGAAGCACAAAAGUUCUUAAUUUUCAUGAUGUCCAAUGUAUGUUUUUUUUUUUUUCUUUUGUUUGUGCUUUUGGAGUCAUAUCUCAGGCCACUGCCUAAUCCAAGGUCAUAAAGAUUUGCCUCUGUCUUCUUCUAAAGGUUGUACAUUAAUAGCUUUUGCUCUGACAUUUAGGUCUUUGAGCCAUCUGGUCCACCUUCAGUUUUUCUGUGUGCAUAUCCAGUUGUAUCAGCACUAUCUGUUGAAAACUGUUCUUUUUCCACAGAAUUGUCUUGGCACCCUUGUUGAAGAUCAAUGGGCCAUUAUUGCUGGGUUUAUUUCUGGACUCUCAAUUUUAUUCCAUUGAUCUAUAUGUAUAUCCAUAUGCUAGUACCCCACUGUCUUGACUUGUAAUAAGUUUUGAAACCACAAAGUGUAAGUCCUCCAACUUAGUUUUUCUUUUUCAAGAUUGUUCUGGAUAUUUUAGGUCCCUUAAAGUUCCAUAUGAAUUUUGUCAGCUUGUCAAAGAAGCCAGCUGAGAUUAUGAUAGGGACUGUGCUGAAUGUGAAGGUCAAUUUGUGGAGUACUACCAUCUUAACAAUAUUAAGUCUUCUGAUCCAUGGCCACCAAAUGUCUUUCCACUUAUUUGGGUCUUCUUUAAUUUCUUUCAACAAUGUUUUGUAGUUUCCAGAGUAAAAGUUUUAUGCUUUGUGACUAAAGUUAUUCCUAUCAAAUUGUUUUCAUGCUAUUGUAAAUGGGAUUGCUUUCUUUUUCUUUUCUUUUUUUUUUUUUUCGAGAGAGGGUCUUGCUCUGUCGUCCAAGCUAGAGGGCAGAAGUGCAAUCUUGGCUCACUGCAACCUACACCUCCUGGGCUCAAGCGGUCCUCCUGCCUCAGCCUCCCUAGCAGUUGGGACUACAGGCACAUGUCACCCAGAAAAAAAUAAUUUUUGUAUUUUUUGUAGAGACGGGGUUUCACCAUGUUGCCCAGGCUGGUCUUGAACUCCUGGGCUCAAGCCAUCUGCCCACCUCAGCCUUCCAAAAUGAUGGGAUAACAAGCGUGACCAGUUUUCUUUGUUUUUGCUUUUGAGAUGGAUUUUCCCUCUGCUGCCCAGGCGGGAGUGCAGGGUGUGAUCUCAGCUCACUGCAACCUCCACCCUCUGGGUUCAAGUGAUUCUUCUGCCUCAGCCUCCCAAAUAGCUGGGAUUACAGGUAUGCGCUACCAUGCCCAGCUAAUUUUUGUAUUUUUAGUAGAGAUGGGGUUUCACCAUGUUGGCCAGGCUGGUCUCGAACUCCUGACCUCAAGUGAUCUGCAAGCCUUGGCCUCCCAAAGUGCUAGGAUUACAGGCAUGAGCCACUGUGCUGGGCCAAAAACAGGUUUUUCUAUAUGGCUCUUUUAUCUUGCAACCUUGGCAAACUCACCUAUUAUUUCUAAUAGUUUUUUUAAUGCAUUCCUAAGAUAUGUUUGAUUUUGAAUGCCAACACAGUAAAUAAUUCAGACAACAAGACACACUGAAGAACUAGCGUCUUAAUGCUGUAAUGUUCUCAAAUAUAGCCAGGAAAAAUAUGACUAUGAAAGUAUAGUAUUUAUAAGUUUUUGAAUUUUAGUAAUCUCUGCAAGCUAAAAAAAAUUUAAUUGUAGUGGGUAUAAAGCAAAAAUACAGAAUCAGCUUGUUAAUCACUAAUGAUUUUAGGGUGUAAUUCAAAAGAAACUGACCUUUUAAAAAACCAAAAUUAUUCAAAGAAAAAAAAUUAAGAUUCAACCAUGGAUAAAAUGGCAGGAAAAAACCCUUUAUUUCCUUUAUUGAAUAUUAUGUUUACUAUAAACUUACAUCAAUUCCAAGACAAUCUAUUAAAAAAUCUAAAAUAUUUAAGGUUUCUUAUACAUAUGCAUGCACAGAUGUACAUUUUCUGAAGCAAGGACUUCCUAGCAAUUCACAUUUCACCCAGACUCCCUCCAACGCUAUGUCAGCUCAAUUUAAUGUCAACCAAUGCAGCCAUAAGUAACUAGAAACAAGUUAACCUUAAGCUACUGAAGAAGGAAAACAGACUACACAAGAAAUCCAUAGCUCAUAUAACACAGUAUUAAAAUGGGGCAUGAUUGUGAUCAAUUGAUGGAGUGUUACAAAAAUUAAAAAACAAUUUUCCAUUCCUUCUCUAUGAAAAUAAUCAUGCUCCUUAGUCUUAUAUUGGAAAGUUAUGAAAAAAAAUCACAAUAUUGUAUAUGCUGUUUGAUUUUCAACGUUUAUAAUCAAACUAUAGUAAAAGCAUAGAAGAAUUAACAGUUAAGGAACAGUACGUAAAUGUUACAAACUCUGAUUUCUUUUUUUUUUUUUUUUUUUUUUGAGAGUCAGGGUCUUGCUCUAUCACCCAGGCUUGAGUGCAGUGGCAUGAUCACGGCUUACUGCAACCUUGACCUCCUGGGCUCAGGUGAUCCUCCCACCUUAGCCUCCCAAGUAGCUGGGACUACAGUCCAACUAAUUUUAUAUUUUGUAGAGAUGGGGUCUCAUUACGUUGCCCUGACUGGUCUCAAACUCCUGGGCUCAAGCGAUUCUCCUGCCUUGGCCUCACAAAGUGUUGGGAUUAUAGGUGUACGCCACCAAGCCUGCCCACAAACCCUGAUAUUAUAAACAUAAUGAGGUUACAUACCAGCAAAGUAAAGGCAGGAGGACAGGUGAAUGGUGUACUUUUAUACAGUGGAGAGCUAAAGUUGACAGGUUGAGACACAUAUUAUUUAGAGCUUUAAAGAUAACUACUAGAGGAGCCAAAAAUGAUAAUACAAUUUACAGAAAUUAGUAAAUGGAGAGAGGAUGAGAAACAAGAGACAGAAAGUAAUAAAAGUAUCUUAGAUUCCUCAUCUUUCAUAAUGGGGAGUUAACAGUAUUGUCUAAUGUUAAAGAAAUCACAGUAUACAUAUAUUAUUUACAGCAACAAUGGUAGCCAGCAAAAGCACUGUAAACAGAAACUGCUGAAAGUGGCUGUCUACUGGCAUUUUACCCUCUUUUACAUUGUUGAAGUUUCAUUUUUCUGCUUUGUUUCAAAAUGUACAUAUUUUUCUUAGUCUUCAUGUUUGGAUUUCAGAAUAGGAAGCUUUAGAUCUAGGUUAACAUUAGCUAUUUAUAAAUUUUUCAUCCCUUAGUGACCAGAUAUUAGGAUAAAUCUAAUACUUUCAUCCAGGACUUUCUAGAUUUAACAUUACUAGGGAAAUAUGAGAGUAAAACUGAGUCCCUUUGACAGAGAGGGGGGAAAAACCCUAUCUACCUUUGAAUCUAAAAACCAGUGAUUCUCAAACUGCAGAAAACAACAAGAAGGUCAAUGAAUAAAGCCCAAAGUUAUGCUUGCCAAGAUGGCUAGUAUAGAAACAAGGUCAUUCAAGCGUAACGGCCUCUUUCAAUACCAAGUACCUUAGUUUAAAUGAUAAAUAAUCCAUGCAUUAAGCUAUAUAGUUAAGAAAUUAUGUAAGCUGAAAUUAAACCACACAGAGAAAGUCCACUAUAACAUGGUUAACUUACAGGGUAGUUGUUAACUAUAUUUUUACAGGGAGCCCCCACCCCCACCCCCCGGCCGCCAUCAUAAAAUUCUGUUUAACUAAGUCUGCUUCCAGAAUUAGAAUUAACCAUUUACUCACGCAAAUAGACAGCCUGGAGAACGAAACAUUAAGUAACUUGCCCACAAGCCCUCCAAAAAGGCUGAGAUGGACCCACACCCUCAUAAAAUAGAGUUCCAAGCAGGAAAGGAGAACAUGAAGUCAAACAGGGCUUUCCUCCUGGGACUUUCUCCGUUGGAGGGGAAAAUCUCAGAAGCCAUCAGCAGACUUCCUUUACAUCUCAUUUGUCCAGAACUGGUUCAGAUGCCCACCAGACCAAACACUGGGGAAACUAUGACUGACUUAAGAGCUGUCACAGUCUAUAUCCUGGGGUUUAGCACCUUGCCAUUUAAAAAAUGAGGGAAUCUGGCAGCAAGCAAGAAGAGGGAAUAGCUAUUGAGCAGGAAACCAACAAUGUCAGCCACAUCUGCAUUCAAUAUUUACCAAAAUUUAGUAAAGAUUACAUACAUAUUAGUUUGACCAAAAAGGGUAAAAAAAAGUUAAAUUAAGAGGAUAGGAGACAGAAGUAUAUACAUUGGGAGAAGGGUGUAUAUAACAACUAAAUCCUCAUCUUCCAUAGCAGAAAAUGAAUUAAUAUCCCAAACUAAGAAAUAGGCUGGGCAUAGGGGCUCACACCUAUAAUCACAGCACUUUGGGAGGCUGAGGCAAGAGGGUCAUCUGAGCCCAGGAGUUUAAGACCAGCUUGGGAAACAUGGUGAGAAAUCAUCUUUACAAAAAUUUUAAAAAUUAGCCGUGCUUGGUGGCACUCCUAUGAUCCCAGGAGGCUGAGCCCAGGAGGUCAAGGCUGCAGUGCACAUUAGCUAAAUGAGUUUAAAAUGGUUUCUCUGAGAGUGGAAAUGGAGAUGAAGGAACGGGGCAUCGGAAUGUUGCUUUUUGUUGUGUGGCCAGUAAGACUAUAUGACUUUUACAACUUUGUUGCUUUCAUAGGUAUUAAAAAAAUGUAAUAAUAAUAAAAAAAAAAAGCAAAAUGGCAAGAAAAAAAGCAUGAACACUGAUGAAUGUUCAUUUACGAAAGGACAAUUACUACGUGGUUCCAUUUAACUGAGAUUCCUAGAGUAGUCAAAUUCAUGAAGACACAAAGUAGGAUGAUUAGCUGCCGGAGGCUGCGGUGGUACUGCUUAAUGGGAAGUUAUUGUUUAAUUGGUAUGAGGUUUCAGUUUAGGAAGAUGAAAAACGUUCUGAAGAUGGAUGGUGGUGAUGGUUGCAAAACAAGGUGAAUAUAUUUAAUCCCACUGAGCUGUACAAUUAAAAAUGACUAAAAUGGAAAUUUUUGUUAUGUAUGUUUAAAACAUCAAGAGAUAGUGUAUUAAAAAACCAUUAUAAGGAACUAAGAAAAAAGAUGCUUACAAAAUAUCUUAUAAAUACAUACAUACAAACCAACACUGCUAGGGCAGCAGGGACCACGAGGAGGAAGGUAUCCUUCAAGCCUAGACAUUGAAUUAAAAAAAGAAACAAAGCAUUUGGCAUGUAACUUCAAUUUCUACUAGGAAUUCUUGACAAUUCUCCAGCUAUGUCUCACAUAAGGGCCCACCAAAAGAUGAGAAACAGAUACAAGAUGAACAAGCAGCAAGUGCUUCUAAUGCACUCAGAAAAGAAGUCUAAGCCUGUCUUUCUCUCUCCCACCCCCAUAAGGGAAAAUAAGAAAGGAAAAAACAGAAAGGACUUAACAAAGAAAGUGUUUUCUCUGCUUUUUAUUCUUUCAACUUAGGAAGGUAGAACAAGGUCUAUGUUUUAUUGACUGAGUUAUAGAACAUUCAUGAAUGAACUUCAGUUUUAAACAUCUGUUCUUCAUGGAGACUCUGGAUGAAGAGACAGACUCCUGAAAAGCUCUAUGGCAAAUAACCCAGAGGAAACUAAAAGCUGCCUAACUCUGUAUUCUUCAGGGAGACAGGUGGUGGCCAAACCACAUUCACUGUGCACAACCAUCAAAUCUCUGAAGUGCUAAUAAACCAACAAAGACAAUUUUUAUCUUAACAAAAGAAACAGGGCUGGGCAUGGUGGUUCAAUCCCAGCACUCUGGGAGGCCGAGGUGGGCGGAUCACUUGAGGUCAGGAGUUCGAGACCAGCCUGGCCAACAUGGUAAAACCCCAUCUCUACUAAAAAUACAAAAAUCAGCCACGCGUGGUGGUGGGCGCCCGUAAUCCCAGCUACUCAGGAGGCUGAGGCAGGAGAAUCACUUGAACCCAGGAGGCGGAGGUUGCGGUGAGCCAAGAUGGCGCCAUUGCACUCCAGCCUGGGCAACAAGAGUGAAACUCUGUCUCAAAGAAAGAAAGAAAAAAAAAAGCAGCUCCCUUCACCCCCAAUACUCUUUAUUUUGGUAUAGUUCACUUUCACUCCCAGUGGAUUAUUUUCCCUUCUUCCUGCUUUCUCCUUUUUUCCAAACCCAUCCAAUGACCUUUAUGAAAUUCUGUCCCAAUGAACCAAUCAUAUCAACUAUCCAAGAGGCAGAAGAGCUACAACCCAGACAAAAUUUCAGACCAUCACAGUUAGUUCCCCUCUGCUGCCCUUGUUAUGGUAACAGCAUACUUUUCCAUGGCUGAUGAGAACUCUGUGAAGGAAAAGAAAGGCAAAGAGAAAGGGUAAAAGAGGUGUCUCUGUUUCUGCUCAUUCCGCAGAGCAAAACAACUCUUCUAAAAGGGGGCAGUUCAGCACCUAGAAAGGAAAUAAGGUAGCGGAAAGAAUCAUAUUAGCUAGCAUUCCAGAGGUAGAAAAGUCUCUUUAAAUGUUUGCAAACUUCCUUUCCUAGUAAGAUAAGCAUCUCAAAACAGUAGAGGAAAAAACUGGAAUAGUGAUCAGGAUACUAAAUUUGAGGGACUCACGGACAAUAAUUAGCUGUUUAAUACUAACAAGUUACUUAACUUCUCUGGGUCCCAAUUUCUCUCAAUAAUAAAAUGAAAGCAUUAGGUUUCUUCUAGGUCACUAGUGUUAUUAAAAGUGGAGCCAACUAUAGUAACUUUACCUUCCUUUGAGGGCAGAGGUAGCUUCUCAAUGGAAGAACCAAAUAUCAUCCCCACUCCUCCACAGGCAGAUAGAAAAAAAAAUAAAAUCCAAGAGCUUUUUUUUUGGCCUGGAAUUUGCCCAACAAAAAGUUUCCUCUUCCUUCAUAAGGAGAAAGGGUACUCUUCCAGCAAUAUGAGAAAUCCAAGAGGUUACAGCAAGUGUGUUUUCACCCACUUCUCACUUCCCAAACCACAGAAAGACAAUUUUGAGAAAGCUCAAGGGUAAGCUGUAUCUCCUGUGAUCCCCAAUGAAUAAAGAACUCUUCAAGGGGGAGAAACUCUAAGUUUGCUAUGCUGUGAAUGUCCCUGCUCAGUCUGAUCAUUUAGGGCAUUCGGUCCAUCAACUGUUGUUAUGCUGGAAUGCUCUGACAUGUAUGUGACCCUCCAGAAGAUUUCUAGAAGUUUGAGGCAGGAAAUGUUAAUCCCCUCCCUUACCACUAAAUAGAGAUUUCCAAUACAAGCCUAUCACUCAUUUUUCUAAAUGUUUUCAAGUCUGAAAUAUAUGUUAGCACUUGACUCUACUCUUUCAGAACUAAAAAUCUUAUCUGUCUGCCCCUACCCCCAAAUCAAGAAUUUAAACCUGUUCAGACCAAGGACUGUAUUUCCUACUUUUGUCUGUUGUCCCCUUUUGUGCGAACCACUCCCCUGGGCACACAAAAUUUACUAACGAUACCUAACCAUAUUAAUCCAGGAGUCUGGAGGUGGCCAGAUAACAAACUAUUGCACCCUGGUUGAGGGAAAUAAAAUUACAUGAUGAGAGGAAGAUGAAUGUAGCAUUAGAGAUACACAAACCGUCAGAGGGGGAAGUUAAAUCAGUAAGUAAAGAACACCUAAACAGUAUUCAUUGCUGUAAUAGUGAUUAAAUCCAACUGCAACGGCACCAUGUCCUUAUAAAGAUAUUAAAUAAGCCCUCAUGUUAAAAAUCCACUGAUUACAGCCAGGCGCAGUGGCUGACGCCUGUACUCCCAGCACUUUGGGAGGCCGAGGCGGGCAGAUCACGAGGUCAGAAGAUUAAGACCAUCCUGGCUAAGCCGCCCCGUCCGGGAGGUGAGGGGCGCCUCUGCCCGGCCGCCCCUACUGGGAAGUGAGGAGACCCUGUGCCCGGCCAGCCGCCCCGUCCAGGAAGGAGGUGGGGGGGUCAGCCCCCCGCCCGGCCAGCCGCCCCGUCCGGGAGGGAGGUGGGGGGGUCAGCCCCCCGCCCGGCCAGCCGCCCCGUCCAGGAGGUGAGGGGCGCCUCUGCCCGGCCGCUCCUACUGGGAAGUGAGGAGCCCCUCUGCCCGGCCAGCCGCCCCAUCCGGGAGGGAGGUGGGGGGUCAGCCCCCCGCCCGGCCAGCCGCCCCAUCUGGGAGGUGAGGGGUGCCUCUGCCCGGCCGCCCCUACUGGGAAGUGAGGAGCCCCUCUGCCCGGCCAGCCGCCCCGUCUGGGAGGGAGGUGGGGGGGGGGUCAGCCCCCCGCCCGGGAGGUGAGCGGCGCCUCUGCCCGGCCGCUCCUACUGGGAAGUGAGGAGCCCCUCUGCCCGGCCACCACCCCAUCUGGGAGGUGUACUCAACAGCUCAUUGAGAACGGGCCAUGAUGACAACGGCGGUUUUGUGGAAUAGAAAGGGGGGAAAGGUGGGGAAAAGAUUGAGAAAUCGGAUGGUUGCCGUGUCUGUGUAGAAAGAGGUGGACAUGGGAGACUUUUCAUUUUGUUCUGUACUAAGAAAAAUUCUUCUGCCUUGGGAUCCUGUUGAUCUGUGACCUUACCCCCAACCCUGUGCUCUCUGAAACAUGUGCUGUGUCCACUCAGGGUUGAAUGGAUUAAGGGUGGUGCAAGAUGUGCUUUGUUAAACAGAUGCUUGAAGGCAGCGUGCUCGUUAAGAGUCAUCACCACUCCCUAAUCUCAAGUACCCAUGGACACAAACACUGCGGAAGGCCACAGGGUCCUCUGCCUAGGAAAACCAGAGACCUUUGUUCACUUGUUUAUCUGCUGACCUUCCCUCCACUAUUGUCCUGUGACCCUGCCAAAUCCCCCUCUGCGAGAAACACCCAAGAAUGAUCAACAACAACAAAAAAAAAAAGACCAUCCUGGCUAACAUGGUGAAACCCUAUCUCUACUAAAAAUACAAAAAAUUAGCUGGGCGUGGUGGUGGACGCCUGUAGCCCCAGCUACUCGGGAGGCUGAGGCAGGAGAAUGGCGUGAACCCAGGAGGCAGAGCUUGCAGUGAGCCGAGAUCGCGCCACUGCACUCCAGCCUAGGCUACAGAGCGAAACUCCGUCUCCAAAAAUAAAUAAAUAAAUAAACAAAUAAAUCCAAAGAUUAUGAUGGGCUCUCCCAAUAAAUACAAGCUCAACAGUAAAGAAGAGCCAAGAUCACAAGUAUUUAAAUCCAAAACAAGAAACUGUGUGUAGAAACAAUGUCGGGGGAAGUUAAGUGAUAUUUGAGAAAACAGUGAUUGAGUGUUGUUAGGAGGAGGGGUAAUGAAUUAGUAUUUCUGGCAGACUCUUUGCAAGCACUUUAAGAACUAAUCCAGGCUAUGAGACAGGCUUCUAUCUUUGAAGCAACGCUUAAAGACUAUGCCCUUAUUUUUAAAAGUAUGGUAGCUUGACUAUUUGACAUAAGCCAAAAACGUGUCUAGGUGGCUCUUCCCUCAGGGGAUUAAUAUAUAGCUGAAAGUUUAGUUCCCUUUCCAAAUACAUUAUAGCUGAGUGCAGUUGUCACUAUGACGUGUUCUGAACUUCUGGAAGCACAGGCAUUUACUGAGCAAUACCACAAAGAAUUCUGGAAGAAGUUAUAAAUCCCUUUCCAUCACCUCGGAAAACAGCAUCUAUUUCUUAAAAGCUAUCAGUUCAAGUUCAAGACAACUCUUAUAUGGAGCAGAUUCUGGUCUGCCAAAAUUUUUCAGGAUUAAAAAGCAAGAUCUUGGCCGGGUGCAGUGGCUCACGCCUGUAAUCCCAGCACUUUGGGAGGCUGACGGGGCGAAUAACUUGAGCCCAGGACGAGCCUGGGCAACAUGGAGAAACCCAGACUCUACCAAAAUACAAAAAAAUUAGCCAGGCGUGGUGGCACGUGCCUGUGGUCCAGCUACUCAGGAGGCUGAGGUGGGAGGAUCGCUUGAGCCCAGGAAGUAGAGAGUGCAGUGAGCCGAGGUCGUGCCACUGUACUCCAGCCUGGGCGACAGAGUGAGACCCUGUACCAUGCUCAAACACGAGUUGGUCUUGAACUGAUCAUAUCGGGGGGAGAUUUCUUCCAUGAGUUAAGCCACCUAAGAACUCCACUAUUCUGCAAAGUUAACAUUUCCUUAAACCCAGCUCUCCAUAUAUAUUACUGAACUUCUGCCUGGGUCAUUUAAAAAGCCUUUCAAGGCAGCCCGCCCAGCCCCCAGAGCGGCCUGGCUGAAUUUCUCUGUAAAGCUCCCUCCUAGAUUUUAUCCCUUGGUGUUGGCAAGAAGGUCUCCUUACUCCACAGGCCUUGCUAUUGUGCAACUGAUUUAAGGAUGGUCCAGGCCUAACUGCAUCGGAUUGGUUGUAGUACAGCUCCUGAGCCCUGCCCACAGGAACAAGGCUAGCAAUCCUCUAGACCGCAGGAGCUGCGAAGUCCCCACCCUCUAGCAAGAGGCCACCCCAGCACCAAAAGAAGACAAAGUUCUGAAGUUAAAAAGGAGGCCCCGUUCCCUUCAAUAAGGCUCCUCAAAAUCGCUUUCCAGGCUCCUCCCUCUGGAGGACAGCCCAGUUAGGGCACAGACAACCUUUGAGCUCUCUUCCCGUGACCAAGCUUCACCUCUACCCCAGUAUUACUUAUUUGUAAACAGUUCCUGGUCAUGCUUUGAAAAGCAAUGCCAGGGAACCACCCUCUCUCUGGAUUGCCUCUCUCUAGCCCCUUCCACAGGAUCAAGCAACCACCCCACCCAACUGGGGUGUCCUUGACAAAGGUCCUUCAAUCCAUUUCCAAAGGCGUCGCUGCCGAAAGACACCCUACCUUAAGGCUGUCAGCACCCUACCACCCCCACCUACUUUCCCUUGGCUAUUACUUGAGCUUUAUUUUAUCACGCUCUCCUCCCGGCCUGGGGACUCCCCUCACCCGUGGGGCCUCGUCCAGCAAAGUAAACAAUGCUGUCAAAGCGGGAUAACGCUGGGCGAGGCUUCCAGACUCCGCAUUCCAGCCUCCUCCCGGUGUUCUAAAAGCAGCAAAAACAAGCCAUCGCAGGAUGCCAGGGCCGAAUUCCUCUCCCAAAGUUCUUUUUUAAAAAGCCCCGGAGCCAGCUCCAAAAUCAAGCAUUAAUUUGCACAAUCUACGACAGGCAAUGCAGACUGUAAUGCAAGGCCAAGUGGAGCCAAAUCCGCCCGGGAAGGAGGCAGAGAGGAGAGAGAGAACUGGGUCGAAUGCGUAAGCCUGCCACGAAGCGGAAACAAGAGCUCUUUUUCGCGACAGGACAGCCACAUUCCCGAGUGGGGCGCGCGCCGACUCGAGCUGCGGGCAAGAGCGAACACGAAGUAAAGGGUCCCGAACGCUCGGGCGGGCCCAAGGGCAGCGUCCCCGGGGCUUCGGUGGAGCUGGGGGCGGGGGCGAAGCGGCCGGGCACCGAGGCGCCGAGGAGUUAGAGGACCGCGGCGGGACACCGGGCGCGGCGGACGGCUGGCCGGC